rnacentral:rRNA from 1 species
GAUGAACGCUGGCGGUCUGCUUAACACAUGCAAGUCGAACGGAAGUAGCAAUACUUUAGUGGCGGACGGGUGAGUAACACGUAAGAAUCUGCCUCCAGGACGGGAAAAACAGUUGGAAACGACUGCUAAUUCCCGAUCAGCCGAAAGGUAAAAAGAGUAUCGCCUGGAGAUGAGCUUGCGGCUGAUUAGCUAGUUGGUAGUGUAAGGGACUACCAAGGCGACGAUCAGUAGCUGGUCUGAGAGGAUGAGCAGCCACACUGGGACUGAGACACGGCCCAGACUCCUACGGGAGGCAGCAGUGGGGAAUUUUCCGCAAUGGGCGCAAGCCUGACGGAGCAAGACCGCGUGGGGGAGGAAGGUUCUUGGAUUGUCAACCCCUUUUCUCAAGGAAGAACAAAAUGACGGUACUUGAGGAAUCAGCAUCGGCUAACUCCGUGCCAGCCGCCGCCGUAAUAC